CCUACGGGCGGCAGCAGUGAGGAAUAUUGGUCAAUGGACGAGAGUCUGAACCAGCCAAGUAGCGUGAAGGAUGACUGCCCUAUGGGUUGUAAACUUCUUUUAUAUGGGAAUAAAAUGUUCCACGUGUGGGAUUUUGUAUGUACCAUAUGAAUAAGGAUCGGCUAACUCCGUGCCAGCAGCCGCGGUAAUACGGAGGAUCCGAGCGUUAUCCGGAUUUAUUGGGUUUAAAGGGAGCGUAGGUGGAUUGUUAAGUCAGUUGUGAAAGUUUGCGGCUCAACCGUAAAAUUGCAGUUGAAACUGGCAGUCUUGAGUACAGUAGAGGUGGGCGGAAUGCGUGGUGUAGCGGUGAAAUGCUUAGAUAUCGCGAAGAACUCCGAUUGCGAAGGCAGUUCACUGGACUGCAACUGACACUGAGGCUGGAAAGUGUGGGUAUCAAACAGGAUUAGAUACCCGAGUAGUC
rnacentral:rRNA from 1 species